CAGUCGUGAGGAAGGUAGUGUAGUUAAUAGCUGCAUUAUUUGACGUUAGCGACAGAAGAAGCACCGGCUAACUCCGUGCCAGCAGCCGCGGUAAUACGGAGGGUGCGAGCGUUAAUCGGAAUUACUGGGCGUAAAGCGCAUGCAGGUGGUUUGUUAAGUCAGAUGUGAAAGCCCGGGGCUCAACCUCGGAAUAGCAUUUGAAAACUGGCAGACUAGAGUACUGUAGAGGGGGUAGAAUUUCAGGUGUAGCGGUGAAAAUGCGUAGAGAUCUGAAGGAAUACCGGUGGCGAAGGCGGCCCCCUGGACAGAUACUGACACUCAGAUGCGAAAGCGUGGGGAGCAAACAGGAUUAGAUACCCUGGUAG
rnacentral:rRNA from 1 species